GACGAACGCUGGCGGCGUGCCUAAUACAUGCAAGUUGAGCGAUGAAGAUUGGUGCUUGCACCAAUUUGAAGAGCAGCGAACGGGUGAGUAACGCGUGGGGAAUCUGCCUUUGAGCGGGGGACAACAUUUGGAAACGAAUGCUAAUACCGCAUAAUAACUUUAAACAUAAGUUUUAAGUUUGAAAGAUGCAAUUGCAUCGCUCAAAGAUGAUCCCGCGUUGUAUUAGCUAGUUGGUGAGGUAAAGGCUCACCAAGGCGAUGAUACAUAGCCGACCUGAGAGGGUGAUCGGCCACAUUGGGACUGAGACACGGCCCAAACUCCUACGGGAGGCAGCAGUAGGGAAUCUUCGGCAAUGGACGAAAGUCUGACCGAGCAACGCCGCGUGAGUGAAGAAGGCUUUCGGAUCGUAAAACUCUGUUGGUAGAGAAGAACGUUGGUGAGAGUGGAAAGCUCAUCAAGUGACGGUAACUACCCAGAAAGGGACGGCUAACUACGUG
rnacentral:rRNA from 1 species